rnacentral:rRNA from 1 species
AUAAGCAUCCGCCCGAGAACUACGAGCACAAACGCUUAAAACUCUAAGGACUUGGCGGUGCUCUAACCCACCUAGAGGAGCCUGUUCUAUAAUCGAUAACCCACGAUUCACCCGACCACUUCUCGCCAAAACAGCCUAUAUACCGCCGUCGUCAGCCCACCUCCAUGAGAGCAUAACAGUGAGCUCAACAACCCACAAUCUCGCUAACAAGACAGGUCAAGGUAUAGCCCAUGAAGUGGAAGAAAUGGGCUACAUUUUCUAAAAUAGAAAAUCUUUUUAAACGGAAGGGGGCUUGAAAUCCGCCCCCAGAAGGUGGAUUUAGCAGUAAAGCAGGAUAAUC